UAACAUGGGGUGAGAAUUUCAUUUUUAGCUACGGACUAAAAGGUCCUUUUAGGUGUGUUUG
rnacentral:tRNA from 1 species